rnacentral:rRNA from 1 species
AGCUCAGCAUGGAAAUCGGCCUAUGGCCUUGAAUUGUGGUCUCGAGAAGCAUUGCCAACGGAGGCGCAGAUGUAAGCCUCUUGGAAAAGAGCAUCAACGAGGGUGAGAAUCCCGUUUGUCAUCUGCAGUCCCCCGUGCACGGUGUGCUUUCUAAGAGUCACGUUCCUCGGGAUUGGAGCGCAAAGUGGGUGGNAAAUUUCAUCUAAAGCUAAAUAUAGGUUCGAGACCGAUAGCAAACAAGUACC